AGCAGGUGCCUUGAGGAAGAAGCCCUGGGUGCCUUGGUGGCUGCGGUGGGUAGAACAGACUUGGGGAUGUUUUAAAAAGAACCAAUUCCCGCUCCCCUCCCUAGGUAAUACUGAUUUAGCUUGUCUGGCACAGGGCCUGGGAAUCUGCAUAUUUGAAAGACCCAUUCUCUACCUAGGAAAUCAGAAUUAUUACAGGAGAAGUGUGGGAACUAUAUUUUAAAAAAAUGGCUGGCUAGGCAGUGGGAAGAUGCUUACCAUGUUCAAGACCAGCUUGGGCACCAUUGUGAGAUCCUGUUUCUACAGAAAAAUAAAAAAAGUGAGGCUGCAAAGAGCUAUGAUUGUGCCACUGCACUCAAGCCUGAGUGACAGAGAAAGACCCUGUCUCCAAAAUGAAAAGACAAAACAAAAGAAAAACACAUGUUUGGGUGGAAAGAAAGAGGCCGGGGUGGAAGUGGUGGAGGUGGGUGGUGGAGUCUUCUUUAAGCCAUGAUAGCCGCACUUGUGCCAACCUCUGUAAACCCUGGG
rnacentral:lncRNA from 1 species